rnacentral:rRNA from 1 species
UGGGGAAUCUUGCACAAUGGGGGAAACCCUGAUGCAGCGACGCCGCGUGAACGAUGAAGCCCUUCGGGGUGUAAAGUUCUUUCGACAGGAACGAUAAUGACGGUACCUGGAGAAGAAGCUGCGGCUAACUACGUGCCAGCAGCCGCGGUAAUACGUAGGCAGCGAGCGUUGUUCGGAGUUACUGGGCGUAAAGAGUGCGUAGGCGGCGAGCCAAGUUUGGUGUGAAAUCUCCCGGCUUAACCGGGAGGGUGCGCCGAAAACUGGUUGGCUGGAGUAUGGUAGAGGAAAGCGGAAUUCCUGGUGUAGCGGUGAAAUGCGUAGAUAUCAGGAGGAACACCUGCGGUGUAGACAGCUUUCUGGACCAAAACUGACGCUGAGGCACGAAAGCGUGGGUAGCAAACA